rnacentral:rRNA from 1 species
UACAGAGGUGGCAAGCGUUGUUCGGAAUUACUGGGCGUAAAGGGCGCGUAGGCGGCCUUCUAAGUCAGACGUGAAAUCCCCCGGCUUAACCUGGGAACUGCGUCUGAUACUGGAAGGCUUGAGUAUGGGAGAGGGAUGUAGAAUUCCAGGUGUAGCGGUGAAAUGCGUAGAUAUCUGGAGGAAUACCGGUGGCGGAGGCGGCAUCCUGGACCAUAACUGACGCUGAGGCGCGAAAGCUAGGGGAGCAAACGGG